rnacentral:rRNA from 1 species
AUGAAGGAAUAUUUCUUCCGCUAUGGUUCCUUCUCAAUUAAGGAUGGCUCGGAAAUUAGAUUUUGGAAGGAUAAGUGGCUAGGUAAUGCUACUCUGCGGGAACAACAUCCAGCUCUGCAUAAUAUUGUGUGUCACAAGGGCGAUACUAUUGCCAAGGUUUUGGAAUCAUUUUCGCCAAAUGUGACAUUCAGAAGGGAUUUAAUUGGACCUAGACUCCAAUCGUGAAACAUGCUGCUCCAACGGUUAACCACGGUACAGUUGUCACAAGGGCCAGAUGGCUUUCGUUGGAACCUACAUGGGAAUGGGCAGUUCUCAGUGGAGUCUAUGUACAGAGUUUUGAUCCAGUCAGAUGUGCCAGUUGAUAAUAAUAAGAAGAUCUAA